GACGAACGCUGGCGGCGUGCUUAACACAUGCAAGUCGAACGGACAGGCCCUGCUUUUGUGGGGUGCUCGAGUGGCGAACGGGUGAGUAACACGUGAGUAACCUGUCCUUGACUUUGGGAUAACUUCAGGAAACUGGGGCUAAUACCGGAUAGGAGCUCUUGCUGCAUGGUGGGGGUUGGAAAGUUUCGGCGGUUGGGGAUGGACUCGCGGCUUAUCAGCUUGUUGGUGGGGUAGUGGCUUACCAAGGCUUUGACGGGUAGCCGGCCUGAGAGGGGGACCGGCCACAUUAGGACUGAGAUACGGCCCAGACUCCUACGGGAGGCAGCAGUGGAGAAUAUUGCACAGUGGGCGGAAGCCAGAUGCAGCGACGCCGCGUGCGGGAUAACGGCCUUCGGGUUGUAAACCACUUUCGCCUGUGACGAGGCGUGAGUGACGGUAAUGGGUAAAGAAGCACCGGCUAACUACGUG
rnacentral:rRNA from 1 species